GAUCAUGGCUCAGGAUGAACGCUAGCUACAGGCUUAACACAUGCAAGUCGAGGGGCAGCGGGAAGUCAGCUUGCUGACUUUGCCGGCGACCGGCGCACGGGUGAGUAACACGUAUCCAACCUUCCAGUUACUCUGGAAUAGCCUUUCGAAAGAAAGAUUAAUACCGGAUAGUAUCGAGAGAUUGCAUGAUUACCCGAUUAAAGAUUCAUCGGUAACGGAUGGGGAGUGCGUUCCAUUAGG
rnacentral:rRNA from 1 species